rnacentral:tRNA from 1 species
GGGGACAUAGCUCAGUUGGGAGAGCAUCUGCUUUGCACGCAGAAGGUCAAGAGUUCGAAUCUCUUUGUCUCCACCA